UACGUAGGGGGCAAGCGUUGUCCGGAAUCAUUGGGCGUAAAGAGCGCGUAGGCGGUCCGGUAAGUCGGUUGUGAAAACUGGGGGCUCAACCCUCAGAGGCCGACCGAUACUGUCGGGCUAGAGUUCGGAAGAGGCGAGUGGAAUUCCCGGUGUAGCGGUGAAAUGCGCAGAUAUCGGGGGGAACACCUAUGGCGAAGGCAGCUCGCUGGGACGUUACUGACGCUGAGACGCGAAAGCGUGGGGAGCAAACAGG
rnacentral:rRNA from 1 species